rnacentral:sRNA from 1 species
UGUCUACAUCGGAAAUCGCUUUAUACU